CGCAGGUGUAUGGCCACGUCUUAUGUGUUAUCCUUAUCUAGAGUGCGCCUUGUCGUCAUGCUUAAAAUUACAUGAUGAUAUUCUGCCUCAUAGAGUAGGUCCCAAACAGCAUUCAACACAGAAAUGUACUCUUGCUAUUAUACAUAGAAAAUGCUUUCAUAUACCAAGUGGGAGAGCAGUCCUAAAAUCUGGGCUGGAAUCGCAGAAGGAAGGCAUUGGAAAGCAACAGAUUCCCUAGUCCAAAGCUGGUUUUUGAUGAACCUAGAAACAGGACCAAGAGAAGUGAAUUUGCCUAAGGCCCUGACAGUGUCUCACGGUAGCAUCUGAACCUAGCAGUUUCUUGACCUAUUUCUUUAAAUGAUUAGUCAUGCUUCCUCUGAUUCCUAUAUAAACAUAUUCCUCAUUCAUUCUUUUGUUUCAGUGAAUUAUUGCAGUGCUACCACGAAACAGUAUUUGAGUCAAAAUGUGGCAGUGUUGAUCCCUUUCCAAGGAUUUUAGUUGCACAGUUUGUCAAAGUUGUGCUUACAGUUUCUUGUUGGUUGCAAGGUGUCCUUUCAGAAGCCAAUUGUGUGGUGUAUUUACGUUGAUUGUUGGAGGUAGUUUGGUUAGAACCUACUUCGAGUGGCUGGCGUGGGCCUGGGGGACAGUGACAGCUGCCUGCUUCAUGGGCAGAGAUGAAGUAAUUGCUUCCUGGGAAGUACCAUCCUCCUGGCCACACUCUCCAGCCCAUUUCGUUUGUGUUGGUUUCCUUGGCAUCUGCACGUUUCUGGCUUCAUGUGAGUCUCAUUUAUUUUAGCGUAUGACUUCAGGCUGUGGGGAAGAAUGGCCAUUUUAGCACAGAGAUGCACACAAAGGAACAACUGGCUAAAUUGUGACCCCCGCGCCCACAGGGUUCAAGACUGUCAGAGCUGGGAGCCACCUUCACAACUACCAGGGUUUCCAGAACCUCCUUCAUCUAGCCCUGGGGAUGGAAGAGAUGUCAUCAGAGAGACAGGAUUUCACCAUGUUUCCCAGGCUGAUCUCAAACUCCUGGACUCAAGCGAUCCUCCCGCCUCGGCCUCCCACAGUGCUGGGAUGAGAGGCGUGAGCCACCGUGCUGGCCCGGGCUGUGCAUUUGUUUGUAUUCUUUUCAAAUUAAUUUUCAGUUUCCCUGAUGGUCUCUUCUUUGACUCACUGGUUGUUUAGGAGUGUGUAGUUUUCACAUAUUUUGGAAUUUCCCACGUUUCCUUCACUGUCGAUUUCCAGUUUCGUGCCAGUACAGCUGAAGAACACCUCUGCUUUGGUCUCAGUCCUUCUCCCUUCACUGAGGCUCAUUUUGUGGCCUGGCACAUGGUCUGUCAUGGGGAAUGUCCCAUGGGCGCUCAAGAGGACUGUGUAUUCAGCUGUUGUUGGGGGGCGUGUGUGACAGAUGUCCAUUCGGCGUACCUGGUUUCCUUUGUUAAUCUUCGGAAUGUUUCUGACACUAGAAAAUCAGAAGCUUUCCACUGUUCCCAGCGCCCUGGCUUUGGGAGAGGCCAGUGAGCCUGUGGGUUUGGAGCCUUGUUGCAUGAGAGAAGCAUGUGUGGAAAUGCCAGGGGCCGGCUUUGAACCCCAUUCCCCCAACAUGAUGCCGUGUGUGGCAGACGUGAUGCUUGGCUUUGCUCUCUCAGGGUUCCAUCUGCGACAGGGGCUACUUGUGUCCCUGGUCUCAUCAUCUCAGGCUGAAGGUGGCCCUGGUCCUGGCCAGAGGGGCUUUGUGAAGCAGAAAUAGAUGGCCUGGUGCAGGGGCCGAGCCUGGCCAGGACCUCGGCCCUGGGAGUUGUAAAGAAGGCCGGCCUGUACCAUGAGCAUGUGCACCAAGCUGUGCCCAUGUCACGGUGUGCUCGGCGCCUGCCCUUGCACAGGUGCAUGGCCUGUCUGAGCCCAGGCUCCCAGCCUAUGGGGCCCAGGUUCACAGAGGUGUGAAAGAGACAAGCACAGAGCAGGGGCCUCUGAACCCAGCCAGCCUCGCUUCGAUGCUGGGAGGCUGACGUCUUCCAUUUUGUCUUCUGCCCAGGCCAGCUGCGGGCCGUCCAGCGGCUGUGCUACUUCUACAGCGUCGUCAUGCCCAGCGAGACCCAGUGUGUCAUCUACCACGAGUUCCAGCUCUCCCUUGCCCGCAAGGUGGCCGACCAGGUGCUGGAGAGGGCAGCUCCUGGAGACCACCAGUCAGCUCUACCUGUCCCUGGGCACCGAGCGGUGAGGGCUGGCUUUGCAGUGGUGGGGGUGUGGAGGGGGGCAAGAAGGUUGGGGGGACAGGGCAGGGAGGGGGGCACAGGGAAGCUGGCCCAGGGCCUCCUCAGCCCCUUUCCUUUGGAUCAUUUGGUUCCUUGGCAUCAGAUGCUUUGAGCUGGUGGGUCUGGGGUCGUCCCAGGGCUGCUGCUGGCUUGUGAGUCCCAGCUUGAGUCUCCCUUGUUGGGUCAAAGGUCAUCUCAACCCCAGCAGAGGCAGUACGUGCACUCUGGGCUGUUCUUCCUACUAUGGUGGCUUUUGUCAUCUGACCUCUGCCUGCCCCGAGUCUUCACUCCUAGCCUUCCUCUGUCCCCUUAAAUGUGACCACAGCAGCCACCUGUGGCUUCUCUCCCACAGAAGACAGAGCCAAUUGUGUCACCUGCUUCCCCGGGGCAGGGUUUCAAGGUCUCACGUCCCAUAUGUGGCCCACUCGGCUUCCCCCGAGCAUGCUGACCUGGUGGGGUAACCAUGGCCCUGGCCACCCCACCCACAGGGCCUGGUGACAUUGCUGCAGUCACAGCCCCUCAAGUGUUGGACUUACUGAGAGAGCAGGGAAGGGGCCAGAUUCCAUGGGGACCCGGGAGACUGGCUCCAGUCUUGGCCUCAGGUUCACAGAAGGAAAAUGGGCCAGUGUGCUAGAGCCAUGCUUCUCAAAGUGUAGUCCCUGGACCAGCAGAGCAGCAUCCAUGUCACCUAGGAGCCUGUGGCAAGUGGGAGUUCUAGGGCCUGCCCCAGGCCUGUGGAGCCAGAAGCUCUGGGGGCAGGGCCAGCAAGCUAUAAGGACAGGCCUCCGGGUGACUGUGAUGCCUGCACACCUUGAGAACCAUCGGCCUAGAUAGCCUCUGAACACUAACGGCUCCUGGUGCGUCUGGAGAAGACACAGGCCAUGUCUGGGAGGCAGGGGAGAUGGACUAGCACAUUCCUCCUGCCACAGGGCAGCAUGAUGCUCGAUUCCCUCAGAAGGAUGUCCUUCAUCUUUUCCAUGCCGUGUGUGUUCACCCUGGCCCUCCCAGCAGCCUGGGAAGGGCAGAACACUGCACACACAAGAGGGCCGUUCCCAGUCCCCACAUUCCAGAUUCAUCUGUCACCAGACCCACGAGAGGAGGCAGACUGGUUCCAGGAGGAUGAGAGCCCUUGUUCUGACACCUGUGUCUGAUUCCAGUGAUUCCAGGGCCUACAAAUCCUCUCUGGACUACACCAAACGAAGUCUGGGAAUUUUCAUUGACCUCCAGAAGAAAGAGAAGGAGGCACAUGCCUGGCUGCAAGCAGGGAAGAUCUAUUACAUCCUGCGACAGAGCGAGCUGGUGGACCUGUACAUCCAG
rnacentral:lncRNA from 10 species